CGUAGGGGGCGAGCGUUGUCCGGAAUUAUUGGGCGUAAAGAGCGUGUAGGCGGUUCGGUAAGUCUGUCGUGAAAACCUGAGGCUCAACCUCGGGCGUGCGAUGGAUACUGCCGGGCUAGAGGAUGGUAGAGGCGAGUGGAAUUCCCGGUGUAGCGGUGAAAUGCGCAGAUAUCGGGAGGAACACCAGUAGCGAAGGCGGCUCGCUGGGCCAUUCCUGACGCUGAGACGCGAAAGCUAGGGGAGCGAACAGGAUUAGAUACCCUGGUAGUCCUAGCCGUAAACGAUGGACACUAGGUGUGGGGGGAGUCGAAUCCCUCUGUGCCGCAGCUAACGCGUUAAGUGUCCCGCCUGGGGAGUACGGCCGCAAGGCUA
rnacentral:rRNA from 1 species